rnacentral:rRNA from 1 species
GACGAACGCUGGCGGCGUGCUUAACACAUGCAAGUCGAGCGGUAAGGCCCUUUCGGGGGUACACGAGCGGCGAACGGGUGAGUAACACGUGGGUGACCUGCCCUCAGCUCUGGGAUAAGCCUGGGAAACCGGGUCUAAUACUGGAUAUGACUCCAUGACGCAUGUUGUGGGGUGGAAAGCCUUGUGCGGCUGAGGAUGGGCCCGCGGCCUAUCAGCUUGUUGGUGGGGUGAGGCCUACCAAGGCGACGACGGGUAGCCGGCCUGAGAGGCGACCGGCCACACUGGGACUGAGACACGGCCCAGACUCCUACGGGAGGCAGCAGUGGGGAAUCUUGCGCAAUGGGCGAAAGCCUGACGCAGCGACGCCGCGUGA